CAUCGGUUUCCAUUCAAACCCUCCUUUACCUGUUGCACACCUCGAGAGCCACUCUUUGCUCAAUUGUUGUCCUUAAGAAGCCGAAGAGGAGGAAGGAAGAAGUGCGUGUUUCAACUCGUUGCGAAGUUUUCUAGUGUCCUUCCAGUGGUCAGUGUUGGCGCAAAGGGCUAAGUGAUGACAAAUUAUCAGCUCAUCAUCGUAGCAUCGCUGUUGGCCUUCUGUCUGUGCAGUCCGCAGAAGAAAAGCUGCAUCCGGCCAGCCUCUGGCUUCAAACAGCUUGGCGAAGUUCAGGAGUAUGUCAGAUGCCUGAAGGAAAUCACUGGAUCGCCGCCAUAUGGAAAACGAUCGCUACCAGAAUCCAGUUCAUUCUUCCAAAAGCUGCAUCCAAUGGUACGAGAAUAUGACCCAGACUAUCUGGAAGAGCUCCUCUAUCAAGUGCUGAAGGCUGAAAGGGACGUUCAGGGAUAAGCUGAAACGUUCUGCAUUUUUUUCUUGUAAAUUUCAACACUCAUCUCUAAAUCCUGUUUUCCCCGAUUUUUUUUCUGGAAGCUAACUAACGUCCACUUGGCCCCAGGAUGAAGAAAAGGUCCUCGUUCCGGGCUCCAAGUAGGCUUUAGCGUUUGGACUGGGGAAGUUUUCAGGGCAAAAUAGGCUGGAUGCCCUUAAAACGCCCCAAAUUGCCGAUAAUUUCCGCUCCAUCAGUAUUACUUUUUGGUGAUUUUUCCAUCCCGUUUUCCUCAUGAUAAGCAACUGUACUGUAAUUAUUAAUUAAUAAGUUGGUGUCUAUAGUGUGCCCAUAGUGAAUUAAUAAAGUUGCAUUUUGACA
rnacentral:lncRNA from 1 species